ensembl:piRNA 21ur-8783 ncRNA
UAUCACAACUUCAAUUGUAAA